CCUUCGUUACUGGUGUGUUGCUGACUCUUCUAACAGUUGCCAUCAUCUAUCUUAUCAGGAGGAGGAUGAGGAAAUACCACCCAGACUCCAAAAGAGUGGCUGCCCAGGCCUUGGAUCUUCUCCCACCUGCUUCUCCCAAGCUUUCUCCCAGCCCUGACGAUGCCCCGACCUAUUCCACUGUAACACCCAG